CGGGUGUAGUUUAGUGGUAAAACAAGAGCCUUCCAAGCUCUGGUCGAGAGUUCGAUUCNUCUAAAUAA
rnacentral:tRNA from 1 species